rnacentral:lncRNA from 1 species
AAUACCUAGAAUCAUAAACAAAAUCACUUAUAAAGCGUCAUAGAGAAGAAACUCUCGAUCAAUCCGUGGAAUUGAGAAGUCCGACUUGGGGUUAGGACAUUACCAAUCGAAUUUUGAAUGAUCUUGUUUCUCCUCCAGUCUGAAGUGGAACUAAUAGUUAUUUUUUUACCGGAAUGCACGUAAGAAGAUGGCAGGACUAGUACACCUUUUAUAUAAAGUCCAAAUCGACAUUCCAUUAAU